rnacentral:rRNA from 1 species
GACAGCAGCGUUGCCACCCUGUAGUCUGACCUGAGCUGAACAAGGCUGGGCCUGGUCAGUACUGGAAUGUGAGAGCUUUAAGGAAAACCAGGUUACUGCUGUAA